rnacentral:rRNA from 1 species
UACGUAGGGUGCAAGCGUUGUCCGGAAUUAUUGGGCGUAAAGAGCUCGUAGGCGGUCCGUCACGUCGGCUGUGAAAACCUGGGGCUCAACCCCGGGCCUGCAGCCGAUACGGGCGGACUAGAAUUCGGUAGGGGAGACUGGAAUUCCUGGCGUAGCGGUGAAAUGCGCAGAUAUCAGGAGGAACACCGGUGGCGAAGGCGGGUCUCUGGGCCGAUAUUGACGCUGAGGAGCGAAAGCGUGGGGAGCGAACAGG